GAAGAAGAAGAAGAUGGUGAUGAUUUAGAUGAUUAAUUAGUGGCAUAAACCAAUUAGGCUAUUAAGAUAUUUGGUUUACGAUGUAAAUGACGAAUUUUAGUGGCGACUUCAAUAAUUCUCAAUUAAUUGUAAUAAGACAUUAUCUCAUUAAAUCUUAUUAUUGAGAGUUUCUUUUCUAAUUAUUACCAUUUUUUUUGCAUGUAAUUUCUUCUUGUGUUAAAAGAAGAAAUGAUGUCCCAAAAUAUAUCCAAGAGGGAGG
rnacentral:misc_RNA from 1 species